UACGGAGGGGGCAAGCGUUACUCGGAAUUAUUGGGCGUAAAGGGCGCGUAGGCGGCCGUGCACGUCGGAGGUGAAAUCCCCGGGCUCAACCCGGGACGUGCCUCCGAUACGGCAUGGCUUGAGUGCAGGAGAGGGAAGCGGAAUUCCCAGUGUAGCGGUGAAAUGCGUAGAUAUUGGGAGGAACACCGGUGGCGAAGGCGGCUUCCUGGACUGUUACUGACGCUGAGGCGCGAAAGCGCGGGGAGCAAACAGG
rnacentral:rRNA from 1 species